GUUUUAAUAGUUUAAUAAAAACAUUGAUUUUGUAAUUCAAAAAUAAAAACUAUUUUUUUUAAAACU
rnacentral:tRNA from 1 species